CUCUUCUCUGAUACCCACACCUCAGGUGCUCACUGGUGUGGACCUGUCUCCUGGCUUCCUGGGACACCUACCACACUGCUUGUUGGAGAGAAAAUGCAAAGGAGAAAACUCCAAAAGUGGAAAUGAAGCUCACAGUCAGAAGACUCUUGCUUCAUUCAAGUAGAGGUCUGGAGACUCUUUAUAUUCAUCCAGUCAGCAAUUGUUUUUUUAGGUGCCUUUUAUAAGACAGGCACUGUUUGAGCCUGGAGAGGCUUUGUGGAACAAGAUUGGCUGAGCCUCUCCCCUCACGGAGCAUGCAUUCUAGAGGCCCUGGCAUGCACAGGAAAUACCACCUGGACACAGCAACCUUUAGAAACUAGAGGAUGUUAGUGCAGGAAGGAAAAGGAAAUCCAUCUCCUUUACAGUGGAGGAAACUGAGCCUGAAGAAUUUAAGACUCUCAUGAAUUCCAACAGCUGCCCUGUGUUCACAACAGCCUUGACUUUUUCAGACUUAGGUAUUAUGUGCAUCUAAAAUAUCUCUAAGUAGCCACAUUUCAUGUGAUACGGAGGAUGCCCUAAUCUGACUCCUCUCUAGCAAAGGGAGAAGGGAGAUGUGCAGAAAAGGAAAAAGGAGUAAAGAAAGAUGGAUUUUGCACACGUUACCAUCACCCCAGUGAAAUUUCUCAAAGAAGAGUGAUCCUCUCUGGAAAGUGGUUUUAACGAGAAACCCAGAAGUCAAAUUCAUGUUAUAAGAAAGUCACAUUAUAAAGAAAGCUCAUGUAUCAUUAUCACCCUUUCACCUAAUUUCCUCUAAUUAGACUGAAAAUUCUACCAGGGCCAGGAUUUGGAGCUGUGACCAGAGGGUUGCGGGUUUGGUUCCGCAGGUGUAAAGACACGAGCCUUCCUUACAGGAGGCUACCUUUCCAACUGCCAUUGCCCACAACUUUUAUUUUGGUGAUACACGGAGGCUGCUCUCAUGGGCAGGGGUAAUAAGAAUACUGAGUUCUCCCUAAGCGUUGGGCUUUGUGUCAGAGCAUUUGAUUUGCACCCUCAUUAGUCCUCUAUCCUGACACCAUCCGUGCGCUACAGGCACAGUCACACUGUAGAAUGGUGAGACCGAGGCAGCAGGCAUUGAGGGGGGGAGGAAGGUGCCACUGUUCACGGAGGUAAGCAGCGGAAGAGCUGUUAUUUGGACACUGUACCCUGAGCACUUAAACGCCUGUAUUCUUUUGAUGGGUCUCAAUGAAGCCGGGCAGACAAUGAAGCUUGUCCAGUUUCAGCUGGUGACCAAAGGUGGCAUCAGAGCUCACCCACGCGCUUUGCCCCACCGAGGGAGCCGUGCAUACACUGGAGGCGGUGAACAGAGUUACUCACUUUGUUUCGGUGGAAAGUAGGUGACGACUGGGGCUGUCACAGGAACCAGGACCAACAUCUUUCAACGUUUUCCUGUCGGUUGUGAUUUUUAUUUUAGGGCAUCUUUUCCCUGUUUUUUCUAGAUUGUCACAAAACAUUUGCACAAUGACCGGAGGCGUUGUGACACCCUGAGUUGAAAAAGUCUAAGGACAACUUGGAUGAAGGAAAGCUUUGAAGUAGGGACACGGUCGGCCCUCACCUUGGUUAAAUAAAUCGAAUGGAAGCGA